UUGACCUCGUAUCAGGUGAGGAUACCCGCUGAAUUUAA
rnacentral:rRNA from 1 species